CCUACGGGAGGCAGCAGUGAGGAAUAUUGGUCAAUGGGCGGGAGCCUGAACCAGCCAAGUCGCGUGAGGGACGACGGUCCUAUGGAUUGUAAACCUCUUUUGUCGGGGAACAAAGGCGCCCACGGGUGGGCGGAUGAGUGUACCCGAAGAAAAAGCAUCGGCUAAAGCCGUGCCCGCAGCCGCGGUAAUACGGAGGAUGCGAGCGUUAUCCGGAUUUAGUGGGUUUAAAGGGUGCGCAGGCGGGCUGUUAAGCCGGCGGUAAAAAUUCAGGGCUCAACCCUGUCGAGCCGUCGGAACUGGCAGUCUUGAGUGGGCGAGAAGUAUGCGGAAUGCGUGGUGUAGCGGUGAAAUGCAUAGAUAUCACGCAGAACGCCGAUUGCGAAGGCAGCAUACCGGCGCCCAACUGACGCUGAGGCACGAAAGCGUGGGGAUCGAACAGGAUUAGAUACCCGUGUAGUC
rnacentral:rRNA from 1 species